CGGCCGCCUGGCCGCGGGAUUUCCGUAGGGAACCUGCGGAAGGAUCAUUCCCCUAAGUUCUAUUCUACCUGCCACACAUCAUAGUGAUACCCCUGUCAUUCAAAAGGACGUUGAGUCCGUCUCAUCGAUGUUGCGAUCUCAUUGCAGCGCUUGCAGUGUUAUCUAUCUCUUGCAACGACGAAUGCCUUGGCUCGAGGAUCGUUGAAGGACGCAGCGAACUGUGUUACACAUCUCGAAUUGCAGAUUUCCGAGAAAGAUAAGGAUUCUGAACGCACUCUGCGAGUUGGCUUUGUCAACUCACGUGGUUGGCGGUGACCGCAAUAUGCAGUCGUUCAAACUCUUGAAGUUUGAAUGGUUAUCUCAUGUCGUCGCUCGUAGUAGCGCCGACGUGAUCGUUGCAGUCAGCGUGCCUUUCGUUUCGAGCACCGAUUGUGGCUUCAGUCAUAUGGUGUUUGUUUCGUUUGGUUUGCAUUUGUUUGUUCAUUCAAACAUUUUUUCGCACGUUCACGACCAAUCACGGGAUUACCCGCUGAAUUUAAGCAUAUCAAC
rnacentral:rRNA from 1 species